rnacentral:tRNA from 1 species
CAGAAAGUAGUUUAAUGAUAAUCUUGACUUUGGGGGCCAAGGGUAAAAGUUCAAACCUUUUUUUUCUGA